rnacentral:snoRNA from 1 species
ACCCUCCAGAUUCCUUACCCUUUGGAUCUAAAUAUUGGCCUGAGUGGCUGAAAAAGGAGUAAAACUAAAACUGAAGUGGACUUGGAGUCUCUAGUAACAGCCAAGUUCAUUGCAAACAUAU